rnacentral:rRNA from 1 species
GUGAGGAAUAUUGGACAAUGGGCGCAAGCCUGAUCCAGCAAUGCCGCGUGGGUGAAGAAGGUCUUCGGAUCGUAAAGCCCUUUCGACAGGGACGAUGAUGACGGUACCUGUAGAAGAAGCCCCGGCUAACUUCGUGCCAGCAGCCGCGGUAAUACGAAGGGGGCUAGCGUUACUCGGAAUUACAGGGCGUAAAGGGCGCGUAGGCGGCUCUGUUAGUCAGGCGUGAAAUUCCUGGGCUUAACCUGGGGACUGCGCUUGAUACUGCAGGGCUUGAGGCCGAGAGAGGGUGGUGGAAUUCCCAGUGUAGAGGUGAAAUUCGUAGAUAUUGGGAAGAACACCGGUGGCGAAGGCGACCACCUGGCUCGGUUCUGACGCUGAGGCGCGACAGCGUGGGGAGCAAACAGGAUUAGAUACCCGAGUAGUCC